CGUCCAGACUCCUACGGGAGGCAGCAGUGGGGGAUAUUGCACAAUGGGGGGAACCCUGAUGCAGCGACGCCGCGUGGGUGAAGAAGCGCCUCGGCGCGUAAAGCCCUGUCAGCAGGGAAGAAAAUGACGGUACCUGAAGAAGAAGCCCCGGCUAACUACGUGCCAGCAGCCGCGGUAAUACGUAGGUGGCAAGCGUUGUCCGGAUUUACUGGGUGUAGAGGGCGUGUAGCCGGGCCGGCAAGUCAGAUGUGAAAGCCCAAGGCUCAACCUUGGAACUGCAUUUGAAACUGUUGGUCUUGAGUAUCGGAGAGGCAGGCGGAAUUCCUAGUGUAGCGGUGAAAUGCGUAGAUAUUAGGAGGAACACCAGUGGCGAAGGCGGCCUGCUGGACGACAACUGACGGUGAGGCGCGAAAGCGUGGGGAGCAAACAGGAUUAGAUACCCCAGUAG
rnacentral:rRNA from 1 species